rnacentral:rRNA from 1 species
GUUGAACGCUGGCGGCGGGCCUAAUACAUGCAAGUCGAGCGAACGGACGAAACGCGUGCCUUGCUGCUGUUAGCGACGGAUGGGUGAGUAACACGUGGAUAACUUAUCUAUAAGGCUGAGAUAACUUCGGGGGACCGGAGAUAAUACCCGAUAAGAUUUGGAAACGGAUGGAUAAAAAGAGAAAGACGGUCUUGCUGUACCUAGUACAGGGUACCGCGUUGGAUUAGCUAGUUGGUAAGGUAACGGCAUACCAAGGCAAGGAUGCAUAGCCGAUCUGAGAGGAUGAUCGGCCACACUGGAACUGAGACACGGUCCAGACUCCUACGGGAGGCAGCAGUAGGGAAUCUUAGACGAUGGGCGAAAGCCUGACGGAGCAACGCCGCGUGAGUGAUGAAGGUCUUCGGAUUGUAAAACACUGUUAAUAGGGAAGAACGGAUGUAAGAGAAACCGUGGCGGUCUUGACGGUACCUAAUCAGUAAGCAACGGCUAACUUCGUG